AGAUUGUCUUGUUCUAUAGGUGUAGAUCUUAAUAUUAAUCCCUUUGUGAAUAAUUCUGAAAAUCUAACUAUCCAAACACAAGGAGUGUUUUCUAGUAAAGGAGAAUGGACCCUCGUAAACGUCAAUGUAAUUCACAAUGUGGAAGCAAACCUUGUGAGGUAUCAGGUAAGAAUAUAUUUGUUAAAGCUUAAUUACAGACUUCUUUGUUGACUGCUAUGAAACUCUGUGAUGAACUUGAAUAUAGGGAAUGUUCCGAGAGCCUAG